AGGGACAUGGGACAGAAGCAUGAGUGGAGGGAAGCAGAGCUGGGCUAAACACGGCAUCAGGCUUUAAUAAACCAAUCCUGGCUCCUGAGAGCAAGGCCGGGAGCUCUGCUGGGUCACCAAUCCAGGGCUGCAGCUCAGCCACCAGCCCUCAGCAUUUUCCUCAAUAGCUUCCCUACUCCCACACACAAAAGCCCCUUUCUUCCAGUACACACACAGCUCUGCACCACACUUCUGCUUCCCAAAGCAGCACAGCCCCUGCUGGAACAGCCUGGGCAGAGGUGCUGGCUGUCAGACCAAAACCUUGCCCAGGACAAAACAGUCCUGAGAAGGAACACGUGCGCCAGCACAACCAAAUCAACCAGAAUUAAGAUGACUCCAGAAAGGGUCUGGGACCAGGAAAAAAACAUCUCCAUGAGGUAAGAGACUUGAAAAAAUGAAAGAGAAGAACAGAAGCUGGGCAUAGUGUGCUGACCACAGCCUGGGGUACACUCACGGGAGUCUUGCUGAUGGACAAUAAAAAACAAAUAAAGAAAAUUUUAA